AAAAAGGUAAGCUAAAAAAGCUAUUGGGUUCAUACCCCAUGAAUGUAGGUCCACCCCUCCCCUCUUUA
rnacentral:tRNA from 1 species